rnacentral:lncRNA from 1 species
UUGGUGAAAUACACCGAAUGAUCAGGUGCUCUACGUUAAACCCUCGUUCGAACUUGAUUACAAGGAAAACAGAGAGGAGAGAUCGAUCAUCUCAUCCACAACAAAACCUAUAUAUGAUCAGCAAUCAGUCCCGAAUUCUAGCAGCAGGAGCAAGAGCAGCAGCAGCAGCAAUCGUCCUUUGGCUUCGGCUUGGGCUUUUCCACCUUGAUCUCAUGGACGGAUUCCACAGAAAUACACUUGCGUUUCUUCUCGGUGGCCUUGAGGACGUCGUCCACCUUGAAAUCACCCGUGAAGGUGUAAAGGGGAUCUUUAACCUCCACUUUCUUCACACCUGCAAGAGCACGAAGAUCUCUUGAUCAGCGAUCAAAAUUUGGGAGAAUUUGCGGAAAUCUACACUCACCGGAGACGCCGUGAUAGAUCUGAGACAUCAUCCUGUCCUUGCAUUUGUUGCAAGAGUCCACUUUCAAGACAACCUGGAGCACAGAGCUCGAGAUCAAACAAGGCUCAACGAAAUCAGCCAGACGCAAUGCUCACCUUCCAAGCCAUCUUGAUUGUCUACGAAUUUGCAGAUCACAGUUGUGAAAUUCGCAGCUUUGACAAGCUUGAGACACUAGAUACCGGAGGACGGAGAAGCGGAAGAGAAGAGGGCCCUGCUGCUGACUGGGGAGACGUCAUGAAUUUAUAUCCGAGCAGCAGUCGUUCCACUCCGUUUACGCAGAAAGUUUCCCGUAGGAAUUGCCGUGUGGAAGCCGUGUUUGUAAUCCCGCGCACGUUCGUAAAAAGAAAACGUUUUUUUAUUAUAAUACUUUUUAUAUCGAGACCUAGAAUCCAUUUGGCGCCAAAGCCCUAAUUUUUUGAACAGAAAUGUAGGGUUUCAUCUUGAUGGUCCCUGGCGCGCUCACACCGCCUGGAUCGGCACGCUCGUCGUGCGGUGGAAGAUCGCCCCCAAUUCGACAGCCAGGGCGUCAUGAUCCAGGAGGAGCGCCGCCGAAUCUGUGGCAAGCACGGCGUGGAGCCCCACUUCUGCGAUUGCGUCCACGACGCCAUCUCCAGCGUCAUCGCGUGCCUCCGCAAGGUCUGGUAACUGGAUCUUUGCGAGCUUCGAAUUCGCGGAUGGAUUGGAGUACCUCUCCUCGGGGAUGCCAGCGAGUUCCAGCGGCGUUUUGGAGAAUCUCUUCACGCCGUCCAUGCAAGAAAGCGCUCAAGGGGUUCCUGCAAGCGCUUGGCGGAAUGCGCGAUUGGAUUCGGCCGCAUGGUGUAAGACUCGAUCUUUGGGUCCGUCCAACAACAUCUGGCACGCUCGCUCGCUCCACUGAUGGUCUCAUCGACGCCAUCAUGGCUUCCACGACAAGGUGAGUGCUCUGCUCUCUCUUUUCUCCAAAGUUUUCCUUGUUUACAGCAUUUCCCCGGAACAGUUACGAUACCAGAAAUCUUCGAGCGAACACACAGGAACACAUAAAGAAAGCAAUCACCCAAACAAUCUGGCGAGCAAAGACGCAAGAACACAUCAAGAAAAAAACCACCCAUGCAAGAACCCAGUUUUAUUCACGCUAUUUGCAGGCUCAGAUCUCCAGUUCCAGCUCUUCCAGAUGGAUUCCUCCGUGCACUCUCGCUUUGUUAUCUGUUUAGAAGCAAACACGAGGUUUGUAUACAGACAAAAAGUUGUAAGAGUUAACCUCUUUCGAGUUUUCGUUGAAUCCCGCAAAGAAUUUAUUGCCUUUGGCGUUACCUCCAAUGGCUCCAGUCGGUGUAAUCGUUGUUGACGACGUGGAAGUAUCCAUGUCGGCAUCUACAAAAGCAGAAGAAGAAGACGAAAUCCUGUUCGAACGGGGCAAUACAAGUUUACGAUCACUUUGGACAGCAUCCUUUUUCUUUCUUAGCUCACAGCAGCACGACAUUCUGAUCUGCGAUCUACGAGAUCCGAGCAACCCUACGUCGCGGCGCGGAAUGGAGCGUACUUCAUCACAUCUGGAGCUGGAUCCGGAAGGAAUAAGCGAGCGUGUUCCAUCGCUAGCUCCAUCUCUCUCCUCCAUCUCAAUGGAAGAAAGAAGAAGGAAAGUCUGGCAACCUCCGCCGGGAAUGGAUGAACACUGGAAAGAGUUCUCUAGCCCUGGCACGGAAGCGUUCUCUCCAUUUAUGAAACAAAGAAAGAAGUUGUACCUCUGGAAGUUUUGCUUGAUACUUCUUAGCUCUUGCUUCCCUUGACAUGCCUAAACGCUGCUUGACACAAGUUAGUAAUGAAGCAGUCGCCACAGCAAGGCCAAGCGGAUUGCAAAUGGUCUGACCAAAUCCAUGCAUGAAAAAAACAUGGAACAAAAUGGAUUGAUCGGAACCCAUUCUUCCCCCGGCAACCACGACUCUAGCGAGAUCCACGUCUCCUCUGGAGUUUUCGUGUCCUUUCAAAGCAAACAAGUAUGGAUCACAGUAUAGAGAGAACUUUGCUGGAAGAAACAACGUACGAAGCGUUUUUUUGGAUGUUGAUUUUGGAUAUGAUACGCAUUCCAGUCGGUUUGUAAUCCGGUGGACGUGAGUGUCGACACAAAUGCAUGCACGCUCUCCACGUUCAUCACCUACAUAAAGUUUUGGAAGGCAAAAUGAUUUAUAAAUAAAAUAUAAAUGAGACAAAACAGAUAUAAAGCUAUAAUAUAUAAAUAAAAAAUACAUAUAACUCAAUAUAUUAUUCUAAAUGAACAAAUAAACGAACACAACGAAAAAAUAAUAUAGUAUACACAAGGUACAACAUGAAUAUGGAAAUUCCUGUCCUACAAAUUUCAGCUUACCAAAUAACACAAGAAAAAUACAAAUACUAUAUAAAAUAUUACAUUUAAAAAAGAAAAUAGCAAUUGAAAUAACACAAAAAAUAGCAACGGAAAAUGAACUAGUAAAUGGAGCAGAUGGAGUAUUAUAAAAUGUAACCCAUAUCAAAGAAGAAAACAUAAUAGAUAGAAUCCCCAAAUAUAGAAACAGGUGAAAAAACAAAAGCUAAAGAGUAAAUAAAAAUAAUUUUAAAAAACAAGAUACCAAUAAGAAAAGUAACAAGAAUAAUAAAUAUUGCUAAAAUCCAAAAUUAUGUUUUAAACAGAACCCACCAUAUGUAGGAAGAAUAAUACACAGAGCUUAAGGAUCAACAGUAAAACAAUUAGAAUAUGACCUGUAUAAAACAAAAUAUCAAAGACAAGCAUAUAUAACAUUAUCAAGAGCACAAACAUUAGAGGUAAUAAAGAUGCAGCUAAAGACAUAAUAAGAAUGACAACAGAAGCACCAUGGCAAAUUAAUUUAAUAGAUUUACAAAAAGAGAAAAAAUCUAACCAAACUAAUACAAGUUUUAAAUAUAACAUCUGUUACAUCAUAUCAAGAAGAUAUAAAGAGUGUUUCAAUAUUAUUAUUAUUAAAUAUAAUGUUUAUAUAUAUAUAUAUAUAUAUAUAUAUAUAUAUAUAUAUAUAUAUAUAUAUAUAUAUAUAUAUAUAUAUAUAUGAAAACCCAUAUAGCAAUAUUUCAUACAAAUGACUAUAAAUCAGAAAAAUUAAAACAUUUAAAAACAGAAAAAAUGGCAAUGUCAUAUAUAUCACUAGUGAAAAAUAAUAAAUAAAUACAAAUACUAAAUUUACAUAGAAAACCUGGAACAAUUAUAUAAAUAUUUAUAAAAUAACUACAUAUGUAUAUAUAUAUAUAAAAUAAUUACAGGAAAUUUCAAUAUUGACUAUCAAAAUGAAGAAGCAAAACCAAUGGAGAUAUAUAUAAAUAAUAAAAGACAAUACACAUUAUAAGAAACUAAUAGAUCAUAUGUGGAUAAAAGAUAUAAUGAAGUAGUACCAGCAUACUGGACAGAUCAAAACAAAUUAUAUAGUAAAAAAUAUUAAAAAAAAAAAAACAAAACAAGCAUUGCUGCAACACAAUGUGCAGCAAUUUAUUUUGUGUUGCUGAUUACGCAAACUGUUAUAAAUGGGAGAGUUUGAGAAUAUUCACAAAAUAUUAUUAUUCUAUAGCGGGGAUUUAAUGUGCUAGGGCUGGCGGCCGGACGAGGCCGUGAUGGCGGGGAUGAUCGAGUCGUGCUGCAACAUAAUUGAAUGUUUAUAAUGUUAAACCUUUUUACUAUGUAACAUUUAUUCCUUGGAGAAACUACAUGGUUAACUAAACCAAAGAUAACUGGUCAUCUAGCAGAACACCCAAUUGCUGGUCUGACGAAUGAGCCUAGCAGCUCAUCUAGACAAAAGUGGGAUGAAUCUAGUUGCCAUAAAACUUAGGCCAGGGCAUUGAGAUGGAACAGCUGUUUGCAGGGUGACAGCCCAUGACAGUGGAAAGAAGAGUGGGAUGAGGGAUCCUUGUCCUCGCAGUUGAGCAAAAACUGGAUGUAUGCGGAUCCAUCAUACACGUGGUGCUCUCUCUCCAGGAGUGCAGAUGAAAGGUAUGUGGAUUAUAUUGCCCAGCUCCUGUUCGACGAUCUGCUGCCUCCACCUUAAUUGUCUUGGGAAAUCACAGCUUUGAUAGCAGCUGAGACACUAGAUAGACGGAGAGCGGAGAGGGCAAAGCCGUACAUACUUGGAGCGGAAGAUGGACUGCUGGUUCUAUAUUAAUCAUAGAUUAAUAUAAGUAAUUUGAAUUAUAUCCAAAUCUGAACAAACCAUAAACCUGUAGACCAAGUCAAUGUUUUGAACGAGGAUUUGACUUGACCAUUGAAUAGUCAAGCACGUUCACACAGGUUAGCAAGCUACGUACAGCACGCAUUACUUUUUUGAAGCUUCUAUGAUUCUCCCACUGAUUCCUUCAUGCAGGCUUUGUGUGUCAACAUCCUUGAAAUUUAAACAUUUCCGCUCCCGUAAAGAUGGGAAGGACCAUUUCAACGUAGCACUCGCGUGCUCUGGAUGUUAGAUUGACAAUCUCAAUCCUAUUGCAACAAAAACUUGGUGAAAGAAACCGAAACCCCUCGUUCGAUUUGAUUAGAACUUACAUGAGAGGAGAGAUUGAUCAUCUCAUCCACAACAAAACCUCUCUAUGAUCAGUAAUCAGUCACGAAUUCUAGCAGCAGCAGCAAGAGCAGCGGCAGCAGCAGCAAUCGUCCUUUGGCUUGGGCUUUUCCACCUUGAUCUCCUGGACGGAUUCCACAGAAAUACACUUGCGUUUCUUCUCGGUGGCCUUGAGGAUGUCGUCCACCUUGAAAUCACCCGUGAAGGUGUAAAGGGGAUCGUUAACCUCCACUUUCUUCACACCUGCAAGAGCACGAAGAUCUCUUGAUCAGCGAUCAAAAUUUGGGAGAAUUUGCGGAAAUCUACACUCACCGGAGACGCCGUGAUAGAUCUGAGACAUCAUCCUGUCCUUGCAUUUGUUGCAAGAGUCCACUUUCAAGACAACCUGCAGCACAGAGCUCGAGAUCAGACAAGGCUCAACGAAAUCAGAGACGCAAUGCUCACCUUCCAAGCCAUCUUGAUUGUCUACGAAUUUGCAGAUCACAGUUGUGAAAUUCGCAGCUUUGACAAGCUUGAGACACUAGAUACGGAAUGAAGAGGGCCCUGCUGCUGACUGGGGAGACGUCAUGAAUUUAUAUCCGAGCAGCAGUCGGAUGGAAUGCUUUCCACUCGUUUUACGCGGAAAGUUUCCCGUAGGAAUUGCCGCGUGGAAGCCGUCUUUGUAUGUACGAUGAAUCCCGCGCACGUUCGUAAAGAGAAAACGUUUUUUUUAUUAUAAUACUUUUUAUAAGACCUAUAAUCCGUUUGGCGCCAAAGCCCUAAUUGUUUGAACAGAAAUGUAGGGUUUGAUCGCUGGCGUGCAAGACCUGGCGCGCUCACACCGCCUGGAUCGGCACUGUUGUCGUGCGGUGGAAGAUCGCCCCCAAUUCGACAACCAGGGCGUCAUGAUCCAGAAGGAGCGCCGCUCGAAUCUGUGGCAAGCACGAAACAAAGAACAAGGCCAGAGAACUCUGGCCGAGGUUGCCAAACUUUCCUUCUUCUUUCUUCUAUGAAGAUGGAGAUGGAGCUCCAAUCUCUCUCCAUCAUGUAACCAUCCUUCUAGCGAUGGAACACACUCACUUAUUCCAUCCAGAAACCUUUAAAACAUCAUAGCCCGCAGUGGAUAAUUAAGAGGGCGAGACCGAUCGACAAGAAUGUUGUACAGCUGCUGAUGACGACUGGCGAUGGCGAUGAUCAUCCUCAAGUCAGCAUGGAAAUCCUACUCCGCAGGGAAUUGCUCCUGCCGAGAGAGUUAGCUCACCAAUGUAGGCCGUGGGCUUGGCAGCGAGGCUCGAGGCUUUGCCAUAGACCGAUCCAGCUCUCCAGACGUGAUGAAGUACGCUCCAUUCAGGAACAAGUUCUUCCCGGAUCUCCAGUGCCAGCUCUUCCAGAUUGAUUUCUCAGUGUACUCUCGCUUUAUGAUCAAACAUCAGUUUUGUAGCCUAUACAAAGAAAAAGUUCAAAAAAGCUUUACCUCUUUCGAGUUUUUGCAAAGAAUGUAUUGCCUUCAAUUGUGGGAUUUGCGCUGCCUCCAAUGGCGUACAUCUUCCAUUCUGUGUAGUCAUGGUUGACAAUGUGGAAGUAUCCGUGUCGGCAUCUACCAAAGCAAAAGAAGAAUACGAAAUCCAGUUAGAAAAGCCAAACCCGUGCGCAAAGAAAGCAAAAGCGUGAGGCUGACCUCGGCAUUCUUUCGACUAAACCCUGUUUAAAGUGAUUGUAAGCUACAGUCACUUGCAUUGCCCGGUCCGCAGUGUAAUCGUCGUUGUGUCCCAGGAGCAUCCAAAGCGUGAAAAAAAGGAGAUCUAGGAGGUGUGAGCGUGCCAGGCCUUGCAGACCGUCAGCAACAAAAGGAGAUUGAGAGCGUGGUACCGGAAGAUCUGGAGAAAGCGCUCCAAGAAAGAGAUUUCUUUCAAAAAAUUAUGACAAAUUUGAAAAACUCAGUUGGCGGUCAAUUGGCGCCAAAAUCCAAAAUGGGGUGAGAGAUGCUCGAACUCUCGACCUCAGGAUUUCUCAGGAGCUAUGAGACCUACGCGCUGACCAACUGCGCCACCACCUCUUCUAGAAACUUCUUAUAUAAUUAUAAGUCAAACCGUGCAUUUUAUUUUUCAUCAGAUUCAUUGGACGUAAGUUCAAGCAAGGACGCCUUCCACGCGGGCGAAACUUUAAGCGGAAACCGAGUGGAAAGGACUGGAAAUCUUGCGUCGCACGUUACUCGGGUAUAAAUUCAUGACGUCUCCCCAGUCAGCAGCAGGGCCCUCUUCUCUUCUGCUUCUCCGUCUCUCCGACUCUCGUGGUUAUUGGUAUCGCUUGUCAAAGAGCUGCGAAUCCGUGAUCUUCUCGAUCAAAUUCGUAGACAAUUAAGAUGGCUUGGAAGGUGAGCAUUGCGUCUGGCUGAUUUCGUUGAUUGUUUGAUCUCGAGCUCUGCGCUGUAGGUUGUCUUGAAAGUGGACUCUUGCAACAAAUGCAAGGACAAGGUUAUGUCUCAGAUCUAUCACGGCGUCUCCGGUGAGUGUAGAUUUCCGCGAAUUCUCCCAAAUUUCGAUGCUGUGAUCGCUGAACAAGAGAUCUUCAUGCUCUUGCAGGUGUGAAGAAAGUGGAGGUUAAAGAUCCCCUUUACACCUUCACAGGUGAUUUCAAGGUGGACGACAUCCUCAAGGCCAUCGAGAAGAAACGGAAGUGUAUAUCUGUGGAAUCCGUCCAGGAGAUCAAGGUGGAAAAGCCCAAGCCGAAGCCAAAGGACGAUUGCUGCUGCUGCUGCUCCUGCUCCUGCUGCUAGAAUUCCAGACUGAUCACUGACGAUAAAGAGUUUUGUUGUGGAUGAGAUGAUCGAUCUCUCCUCUCUGUUUUCCUUGUAAUCAAUUUCGAACGAGUGUUUAACGUAGAGCACCAGAUCAUUCAGUUUCUUUCACCAAAUUUUUGUUGCAAUAGGAUUGAGAUUGUCG